GGGGUUGUAGCUCAGUGGUAGAGCACUUGCUUGCCUAGCAUGUGUGAGGCACUGGGUUAGAUUCUCAGCACCACA
rnacentral:tRNA from 1 species